UACGAAGGGGGCUAGCGUUGCUCGGAAUCACUGGGCGUAAAGCGCGCGUAGGCGGCUUUGCAAGUCGGGUGUGAAAUCCCCAGGCUUAACCUGGGAACUGCAUUCGAGACUGCAUUGCUAGAGUAUGGGAGAGGGAAGUGGAAUUUCCGGUGUAGCGGUGAAAUGCGUAGAUAUCGGAUGGAACAUCAGUGGCGAAAGCGACUUCCUGGACCAAUACUGACGCUCAUGUGCGAAAGCGUGGGGAGCAAACAGG
rnacentral:rRNA from 1 species